CUGCUUUAACAGCUUCAUCAUGGCUGGACGCCUGUUGCCCAUCAUCCUCAUGUGUUCCUUUCAUAAGAUUCAAGUACGAGACUAAUGAUUUGUGGAAGUAUCUAUGCUCCGUUCAACAAAAGGAGGCCAGCUGUGAUUACAGUCUGGAAUAUGAAGUCAACUCAACUCUGUCUCUGGCUCCUCGUAGUGAUAGAUACAACCUGAGAGACUCGACUGCUUCCACUACUGUAACAAUGAGAAAAGUUACAUCAGCUAACGUAUGGUAUACUCUGAAUAUGACAGGAAAUAGUUUAGUGCCCAAAG